rnacentral:misc_RNA from 1 species
CGUUGAGGACCUACAACGACUAUAGUGACACUCUUGUCGGGUUGAGACGCGAGGAUUCGACGGUAGAGCAACACGGCGUCCGGUGCAUUUUUACCGGAUUUCAAAUCAUUUGGAAAACUAUUCGUAAGCAGACUGUUGUAAUAAUCGUUGUGUGUGCCCUUAUACUCAUAACUUCCCUUGUAAGUUCCAAUGGGUAUGUUAGGCUUCCCGUAGUAAGUGUUGACG